UACUGUAGUGAUAUAUAGUGGUAGUAUACAGUAGUGGUAUAGAGUGGUGGUAUACAGUAGUGGUAUAGAGUGGUGGUAUACUGUAGUGGUAUACAGUGGUGGUAUACAGUGGUGAUAUACAGUAGUGGUAUACUGUAGUGAUAUAUAGUGGUAGUAUACAGUAGUGGUAUAGAGUGGUGGUAUACAGUAGUGGUAUAGAGUGGUGGUAUACUGUAGUGGUAUACAGUGGUGGUAUACAGUGGUGAUAUACAGUAGUGGUAUACUGUAGUGAUAUAUAGUGGUAGUAUACAGUAGUGGUAUAGAGUGGUGGUAUACAGUGGUGAUAUACAGUAGUGGUAUAGAGUGGUGGUAUACUGUAGUGGUAUAGAGUGGUGAUUUCUAGUCACGAUACACUACACAUGUUUUCAGUUAAUACUCUUCAGGGUUUUUCAUUUAGCUCCAUGUUCUUUAUUAACCUGGGUGCCAGUCAUUCUGCUCUCUUUAUUAACCUGGGUGCCAGUCGUUCUGCUCUCUUUAUUAACCUGGGUGCCAGUUCUGCUCUCUUUAUUAACCUGGGUGCCAGUUCUGCUCUCUUUAUUAACCUGGGUGCCAGUCGUUCUGCUGUCUUUAUUAACCUGGGUGCCAGUUCUGCUCUCUUUAUUAACCUGGGUGCCAGUUCUGCUCUCUUUAUUAACCUGGGUGCCAGUCGUUCUGCUCUCUUUAUUAACCUGGGUGCCAGUCGUUCUGCUCUCUUUAUUAACCUGGGUGCCAGUUCUGCUCUCUUUAUUAACCCGGGUGCCAGUUCUGCUCUCUUUAUUAACCUGGGUGCCAGUUGUUCUGCUCUCUUUAUUAACCUGGGUGCCAGUUGUUCUGCUCUCUUUAUUAACCUGGGUGCCAGUUCUGCUCUCUUUAUUAACCUGGGUGCCAGUCGUUCUGCUCUCUUUAUUAACCUGGGUGCCAGUUCUGCUCUCUUUAUUAACCUGGGUGCCAGUCGUUCUGCUCUCUUUAUUAACCUGGGUGCCAGUUGUUCUGCUCUCUUUAUUAACCUGGGUGCCAGUUCUGCUCUCUUUAUUAACCUGGGUGCCAGUUCUGCUCUCUUUAUUAACCUGGGUGCCAGUCGUUCUGCUCUCUUUAUUAACCUGGGUGCCAGUUGUUCUGCUCUCUUUAUUAACCUGGGUGCCAGUCGUUCUGCUCUCUUUAUUAACCUGGGUGCCAGUUGUUCUGCUGUCUUGUCAAGCCAAACAAGACAACUCUAUAAGAAGUUGGCAAGAGAGCAUAAACAGACUGGCAGUCAGGCUAGCUCUCCAUACAUCGGUUAUAUACUGUAA
rnacentral:lncRNA from 8 species